rnacentral:rRNA from 1 species
GGCAGAGGAUGCAAGCGUUAUCCGGAAUGAUUGGGCGUAAAGCGUCUGUAGGUGGCUUUUCAAGUCCGCCGUCAAAUCCCAGGGCUCAACCCUGGACAGGCGGUGGAAACUACCAAGCUGGAGUACGGUAGGGGCAGAGGGAAUUUCCGGUGGAGCGGUGAAAUGCAUUGAGAUCGGAAAGAACACCAACGGCGAAAGCAGCUACUGCUGGGCUCGACACUGACACUGAGAGACGAAAGCUAGGGGAGCAAAUGGG